rnacentral:pre_miRNA from 1 species
UCUCAUGGAUGAUUAAAGAAAGUGGUUUCUUGAGAUGGAAUCUACUACUGGUGAAGAUCUUAUAAA